rnacentral:rRNA from 1 species
GAUGAACGCUGGCGGCGUGCCUAAUACAUGCAAGUCAAGCGAACGGACGAGAAGCUUGCUUCUCUGAUGUUAGCGGCGGACGGGUGAGUAACACGUGGAUAACCUACCUAUAAGACUGGGAUAACUUCGGGAAACCGGAGCUAAUACCGGAUAAUAUUUUGAACCGCAUGGUUCAAAAGUGAAAGACGGUCUUGCUGUCACUUAUAGAUGGAUCCGCGCUGCAUUAGCUAGUUGGUAAGGUAACGGCUUACCAAGGCAACGAUGCAUAGCCGACCUGAGAGGGUGAUCGGCCACAUUGGAACUGAGACACGGUCCAGACUCCUACGGGAGGCAGCAGUAGGGAAUCUUCCGCAAUGGGCGAAAGCCUGACGGAGCAACGCCGCGUGAGUGAUGAAGGUCUUCGGAUCGUAAAACUCUGUUAUUAGGGAAGAACAUAUGUGUAAGUAACUGUGCACAUCUUGACGGUACCUAAUCAGAAAGCCACGGCUAACUACGUG